rnacentral:lncRNA from 1 species
GCAAUGACCUAGGAUACAGUCAAACCUUGGUUUCUUUUUGAUGUCUUACAGAGCUCUAAUACUCCACAGUGCUCACUUUAGCUGUCUUCAUUGCCAUUGGAACAAGUUGUUCUUGUCUGUCAUUCCAUUUUGGGAAAUCAUCAUAUGCUUGGGGUAGCCAUCUCCCUACUUCACCAACAGGAUUAAAGUCUAUCAACUACUCUCAACCUGCAGAGAAGGUUCUAUGGAGAUCAAUUCUGAAGCAAUUAAAUAAGCAGCCGACAAGGCUUUUUAAGCACCAGAGCAUUUGUCUCAAUAGAAAGCAGAGCAAGACCAAAGUCUUUCAAAUCCAGUGGCUGGACACAAGUCAAAAUGACUGACAAUGGCCCAGGAUGCAACAGAUGACCUUAGCAUCUUUGAUGCCUGAGCAAGCUCUAAGCAUUACAUAGCACCAGCUUCACCUAUCUUCAUAGUUGUUGGAACAGUCAAUAAAAAAUAGUUCUUGUACUCA